CCUUCUUUAAUACAAACAGUAGCAAAAAUUCCACGAGAUUAACAUGUAACUACCUUGAAUCUAAAAAUCACAUCAACUUUCAGCAGAACCAGACAAAAACCAGAAGCAAUUCACCUUAUACCACAUCAACAACAUGAGAAGGCUAAUAGAAUACAUAUAAGAUUAAACUAUUACAAAAUAUGAAAGAAAUGGAAGAACAGGGAAGUAAGAUUCAAUAAAACAACUUGUAUUCAUCAUGUUUCCACAUUCGAAUUGCAUGUUUACACUUCAUAUGCUAUCCAUAGCUCAAGAAAUACCUGGAAGUCAAGAGAAAAUAAUGAGAGUGAGGAAUUAGCGACAGUAGUAGAUCAGCUCAAUAACUCAGCAAACCUAGCUUCUUUCAAACCAAUUUAAACCCAGAUGAGCACAGUUAUUUGGAGCUUUAAAAAAUUCUGACUAACAAGGGAAAUCAAAGAGCAAAACCAAGCAAGUUUCAAGCAAUUUUUCAGUAUUUUCAGAGUCUAAGAGCUCAGCCGUUUCUAAGUUUUUCAGGCUUGUCAUCCCUGCUUCUAAAUGAAAGAAAACAAACUUAUAUAGAAGGUCCUAGGGCAGCAGAAAUGAUUUUAAGCUUUACCAAUUGCCCCUUCCCCAAUUUUCAUUUUGUUCAUUCCAGACCCCAAAUCUAAAUUGUUUGUUAAGUCAGCCCCCUUUCCCACUUUCCUGGAAGCCUCCUAGUUAGUUUUAAAAUAUUCCCUCAAUUUGAAUUCCCCAAAUACCCUUUAAGCCGUUGUUAUUUACCAUCAGAAAAUACUACUAACUGGGCUAGACCCUAGCAUACCUGAACCCCUCCCCUUUUCCUUUGGGCUUCUGAACUAUGAAGCCCAAUUUAUGAUCCAAAGACCACAAACCACAAACAAUCAAAUGAAAAGAGUUCUGAAACUCCGGGCAUCGAAAUUUUAAAGAAAUAAAACAAAAAAUGAGAAUGGAGCAACAGGCAAACAUGAAACCAAAAGUACUAAAGAAAUUGUUAAUUACACUAUUAUGUUAAUAUCACCAUAAACUAAUACGACCUAAAUCUAAUCAUGCAAACAUAGAUCGACUUGUACUAACAAAAGAAGAAGAAGAAGAAGAAGAAGAAGAAGAAGAAGAAGAAGAAGAAGAAAACAAGAAGAAACAGAAAUAUGCAACUAAUUAACAAAAGAAAAGAAGAAGAAAAGGUUGACUGACCGAGUCGGAAGCAUUAGCCAAAAAUCUCGGAUGAACAACAUAGCCACUCGAAUUGCUUCAUCAAAGCCUGAAACUCACCCUAACGAGCACCUUUGUCAAGGAUACUCUAUCAACGCAAGUUUCAAGCCUGGUGAACAGAAGACUUCUACAAACCCCAAACCCCGAAAUUAGGUUAACCCUAGAUCUUAAUUUCGACAAAUUCCAGGGUUCAUUUGGAAAAAUUAUCAAGAGUUUUGGGUUUGGGGAUACAUAAAGAUUGUAAGAUGCAAAUCUAGGCAAAUUUGGGGAGGCUAGGGUUCAAGGAUCCAUCCUUUGAUCCCAGAUUCGAAGAGUUCUAUGAUGAUUUGAAGGAAAUGGGUGGUGGAUUUGGUAUGAGGGGGAGAAGGGGAUUCUAUGGUGUAAAUUUGGUGGGGAUUGGAGGUCAACCGCCGCCACUGGCGAUUUUCGGUGGGCGGCGGACGAUGGUGAGAGAAGGGGUGUGAGGGAGAAGAUGAACACAGGUCCUAGGUUAAUUGUAGGGCUUUCGGACAGUUUUAUGUAACUAUGAUGAAGCCUUGAUGGUCAUUC
rnacentral:lncRNA from 1 species